AUUGAACGCUGGCGGCAGGCCUAACACAUGCAAGUCGAGCGCGCGGCGGACGGGUGAGUAAUGUAUGGGGACUGCCCGAUAGAGGGGGAUAACUACUGGAAACGGUGGCUAAUACCGCAUACUAUCGGAUAACCCAUAUGGGAUUAGCUAGUGGGUGGGGUAAAGGCGCACCUAGGCGACGAUCUCUCGCUGGUCUGAGAGGAUGAUCAGCCACACUGGGACUGAGACACGGCCCAGACUCCUACGGAGGCAGCAGUUGGGAAUAUUGCACAAUGGGCGCAAGCCUGAUGCAGCAAUGCCGCGUGUAUGAAGAAGGCCUUAGGGUUGUAAAGUACUGUCAUCGGGGAGGCGGUAUCCGCAGAAGAAGCACCGGCUAACUCCGUGCCAGCAGCCGCGGUAAUUC
rnacentral:rRNA from 1 species